rnacentral:rRNA from 1 species
CGCUAUCGGUAUGCUUAACACAUGCAAGUCGAACGGACUAAUUGGGGCUUGCUCCAAUUAGUUAGUGGCAGACGGGUGAGUAACACGUGGGAAUCUACCCAUCACUACGGAAUAACUUUUAGAAAUAAAAGCUAAUACCGUAUAUUCUCUACGGAGGAAAGAUUUAUCGCUGAUGGAUGAGCCCGCGUCAGAUUAUGUAGUUGGUGAGGUAAUGGCUCACCAAGCCGACGAUCUGUAUCUGGUUUGACAGGAUGAUCAGCCACACUGGGACUGAGAC